AUACAUGCAAGUCGAACGGAACCUUCGGGUUUUAGUGGCGAACGGGUGAGUAACACGUAAGCAACCUGCCUUUAAGACGUGGAUAACAAUUGGAAACAGUUGCUAAGACAGGAUAGGAAAUUAAGAGGCAUCUUUUAAUUUUUAAAAGACCUUUUUCGAAAGGUAUACUUAAAGAGGGGCUUGCGCCACAUUAGUUAGUUGGUAAGGUAAAGGCUUACCAAGACGAUGAUGUGUAGCUGGACUGAGAGGUCGAACAGCCACAUUGGGACUGAGACACGGCCCAAACUCCUACGGGAGGCAGCAGUAAGGAAUUUUUGGCAAUGGAGGAAACUCUGACCGAGCGACGUCGCGUGAACAAUGAAGUACUUCGGUAUGUAAAGUUCUUUUAUUGAAAAAGAAAAAAUAGUGGAAAAACUAUCUUGACAUUAUUCAAUGAAUAAGCCCCGGCUAAUUAUGUGCCAGCAGCCGCGGUAAUACAUAAGGGGCGAGCGUUAUCCGGAAUUAUUGGGCGUAAAGGGUGCGUAGGCGGUUUGAUAAGUCUAUAGUUUAAAUGCAGUGCUUAACGCUGUAGCGCUAUAGAAACUGUCUGACUAGAGUUAGAUAGAGGCAAGCGGAAUUCCAUGUGUAGCGGUAAAAUGCGUAAAUAUAUGGAGGAACACCAGAGGCGUAGGCGGCUUGCUGGGUCUUAACUGACGCUGAGGCACGAAAGCGUGGGGAGCAAACAGGAUUAGAUACCCUGGUAGUCCACGCCGUAAACGAUGAGUACUAAGUGUCGGGUUUCGGCUCGGUACUGAAGUUAACACAUUAAGUACUCCGCCUGAGUAGUACGUACGCAAGUAUGAAACUUAAAGGAAUUGACGGGACCCCGCACAAGCGGUGGAUCAUGUUGUUUAAUUCGAAGAUACACGAAAAACCUUACCAGGUCUUGACAUAAUUUUGCGACAUUAUAGAAAUAUAAUGAAGGUUAUCAGAAUUACAGGUGGUGCAUGGUUGUCGUCAGCUCGUGUCGUGAGAUGUUAGGUUAAGUCCUAAAACGAGCGCAACCCUUGUCGUUAGUUGCGACCACGUAAUGGUGAGCACUUUAGCGAGACUGCCAAUGAAAAAUUGGAGGAAGGUGAGGAUUACGUCAAAUCAUCAUGCCCCUUAUGAUCUGGGCUACAAACGUGAUACAAUGGCUGUUACAAAGAGUAGCUACAACGUGAGUUUUUAGCCAAUCUCAAAAAAACAGUCUCAGUUCGGAUUGAAGUCUGCAACUCGACUUCAUGAAGUUGGAAUCGCUAGUAAUCGCGAAUCAGCAUGUCGCGGUGAAUACGUUCUCGGGGUUUGUACACACCGCCCGUCAAACCACGAAAGUUGAUAAUACCCGAAAGCGGUCGCCUAACUUCGUCAGAAGAGGGAGCCGUCUAAGGUAGGAUCGAUGAUUGGGGUUAAGUCGUAACAAGGUAUCCCUACCGGAAGGUGGGGAUGGAUCACCUCCUUUCU
rnacentral:rRNA from 1 species